UCGAGAAUCAUUCACAAUGGGGGAAACCCUGAUGGUGCGACGCCGCGUGGGGGAAUGAAGGUCUUCGGAUUGUAAACGCCUGUCAUGUGGGAGCAAAUUAAAAAGAUAGUACCACAAGAGGAAGAGACGGCUAACUCUGUGCCAGCAGCCGCGGUAAUACAGAGGUCUCAAGCGUUGUUCGGAAUCACUGGGCGUAAAGCGUGCGUAGGCGGUUUCGUAAGUCGUGUGUGAAAGGCGGGGGCUCAACCCCCGGACUGCACAUGAUACUGCGAGACUAGAGUAAUGGAGGGGGAACCGGAAUUCUCGGUGUAGCAGUGAAAUGCGUAGAUAUCGAGAGGAACACUCGUGGCGAAGGCGGGUUCCUGGACAUUAACUGACGCUGAGGCACGAAGGCCAGGGGAGCGAAAGGG
rnacentral:rRNA from 1 species